ACUGUAUUGGUCUUUUCUGUCUUGCAGUAGAAACAAAAGACAAAGGUUUUGAGCAUAUUCUUAAGUUUUCCUCACAAUGUGCUCUAAUGUUUAAUGGAGAAAAACACAAAUAGAAGAUCUCUGGUGUAACUGAACAAGGUCAGCAGGCACAGGAUGCUUGGGAAGUGCUGUGAUGAAGAGUUUAAAAGAGCUCACUAGCACUGUCUUUUAAUAAUUUGGAUACCAGGUUGCUUCACUGAAGUUCUGAGUAUAUCCUGGUGUCAAGGGAAGAGGAGAGUUCCUUCAGCAUUUGGCAAAAUACUUCAAUUGGAAGGGACACCUGGAGCCAUCCAAACCAACCUUCUGCUCAAGGCUGGACUGACUUCAAAGAUGAGUCCUCUGAGGUUAUCAGCUCUGGAAUGAAAUAUAUCAUAGCUGGUUCUACCAAUCCUCCCUAUUGGAACACAAGCCAGCAUAUCACACCCUGUAAAGGUGUGCUGGAAAACUUUUGGGAAAGGAGGCUGUGGAUGACAUACAAAAGGUUUCCAGUUUUCAACACAGUUGACAUAGAUGACAGGACAAAGGAGCAUACAUGGAAAGAAGAUGAAAAUUCAGAACAGAUGUCAGGAAGCAUUUUUCAUGCUCAACGUGCACAGUUGCCAACCAGGACAGGGAAAGCAAAGGGACCAGAAAACAAAGGACCAGAAGGAAAUCUUUAUGCCACAUACAUCCAUAUUAAUUUAAAAAUUACUGUUUCCUAUCAGGAACCUUUUAGUUCUUUCACCUUUGCACUUCUGAAAAUAUCAAUUUCCUGCCUUACUUUUCAACACCUUUUAUCCUUUGCUGUCAUAUUCAAGGCUAUUCUUCACUUCCACAACUUUGACAUUAUUAGCAGCAACAGAUUUGAAUUCAGAUUCAGUAUUUGAUUCAAAAAACAGAAGACAAAGCAUGAAAAGAGAAUUAAACAUUUUUAUAUAAAUGAACUAUUUGCAUUCCUUCUUA